GUUCCCAAAUCCCUGAGAGGGUCCUGAUGUUUUAAAAUACGUGAAGAACUUGAGUUAAAUGAGGAAAGAUGACAUCCACAUCAUACAGGCACAAAGUCUACAAGUGAAAAGCAUUGAACUGUUCCUCCAGUUAAAAAAAACAACCUCAAAACCCACACCGACCCGUAAACAGGUCUGAUGACAACGAAACAGGAAUGACGAAACAAGGAGCACCAUUCAAGUCAUCUUGUAGGACAGGUUUGACACUUUAUAAAUGGGUAGUAGGGCCACAGGACAAAGCAACAUGUUAUAGUUACUUUUUUAAAAUAAGUAUAAUAGUUCCCUAUGGUUUUUGUAAAAAAAAAAAAAAAAAAAUGAAUAUAAAAA